rnacentral:rRNA from 1 species
AUUGAACGCUGGCGGCAGGCCUAACACAUGCAAGUCGAACGGUAACAGGAAGAAGCUUGCUUCUUUGCUGACGAGUGGCGGACGGGUGAGUAAUGUCUGGGAAACUGCCUGAUGGAGGGGGAUAACUACUGGAAACGGUAGCUAAUACCGCAUAACGUCGCAAGACCAAAGAGGGGGACCUUCGGGCCUCUUGCCAUCGGAUGUGCCCAGAUGGGACUAGCUAGUAGGUGGGGUAACGGCUUACCUAGGCGACGAUCCCUAGCUGGUCUGAGAGGAUGACCAGCCACACUGGAACUGAGACACGGUCCAGACUCCUACGGGAGGCAGCAGUGGGGAAUAUUGCACAAUGGGCGCAAGCCUGAUGCAGCCAUGCCGCGUGUAUGAAGAAGGCCUUCGGGUUGUAAAGUACUUUCAGCGGGGAGGAAGGGAGUAAAGUUAAUACCUUUGCUCAUUGACGUUACCCGCAGAAGAAGCACCGGCUAACUCCGUG